GCCUACAACAUAGCGUUAAUGCAUCAAAUCCCUUUAGAAAUUCAUAGUUAAGCACACUCAGGCUAUAAUAGUAUUGGGAUGGAUGACCGUUCGGGGAGUCCUAGUGUUUUAUAUGCC
rnacentral:rRNA from 1 species